UACCUGGCGGCAGCUUACCAUGCAAGUCGAACGGUAGCAGGAGAAAGCUUGCUUUCUUGCUGACGAGUGGCGGACGGGUGAGUAAUGCUUGGGAAUCUGGCUUAUGGAGGGGGAUAACUACUGGAAACGGUAGCUAAUACCGCGUAAUAUCUUCGGAUUAAAGGGUGGGAUCUUCGGACCACUUGCCAUGAGAUGAGCCCAAGUGGGAUUAGGUAGUUGGUGGGGUAAAGGCCUACCAAGCCGACGAUCUCUAGCUGGUCUGAGAGGAUGGCCAGCCACACUGGAACUGAGACACGGUCCAGACUCCUACGGGAGGCAGCAGUGGGGAAUAUUGCACAAUGGGGGGAACCCUGAUGCAGCCAUGCCGCGUGAAUGAAGAAGGCCUUCGGGUUGUAAAGUUCUUUCGGUGAUGAGGAAGGCGGGUAUUUUAAUAGAAUACUCGAUUGACGUUAGUCACAGAAGAAGCACCGGCUAACUCCGUGCCAGCAGCCGCGGUAAU
rnacentral:rRNA from 1 species